ACCAGGUGUGGUCGCUCAUGCCUGUAGUCCCAGUGACUUGGGAAGCUGAGGCAGGAGGAUCAUAUGUUUGAGGCCAGCCUCAGCAGUUUAGCAAGGCCCUAAACAAUUUAGUGAGACCCUGCCUCAU
rnacentral:sRNA from 1 species